rnacentral:piRNA from 1 species
GAGUGGUCAGUGGGAAGGGGAGU